CCUACUGUCACUAGGGAAGAAACGCUUCAUGUUAAUAGUAUGAAGCCUGACUUAACCUGGAGAGGAAGCAGUGGCUAACUCUGUGC
rnacentral:rRNA from 1 species